rnacentral:rRNA from 1 species
UACGAAGGGUGCAAACGUUGCUCGGAAUUACUGGGCGUAAAGCGCGCGUAGGCGGCUUUGCAAGUCGGAUGUGAAAUCCCCAGGCUUAACCUGGGAACUGCAUUCGAGACUGCAUUGCUAGAGUAUGGGAGAGGGAAGUGGAAUUUCCGGUGUAGCGGUGAAAUGCGUAGAUAUCGGAAGGAACAUCAGUGGCGAAAGCGACUUCCUGGACCAAUACUGACGCUCAUGUGCGAAAGCGUGGGGAGCGAACAGG